GACGAACGCUGGCGGCGUGCUUAACACAUGCAAGUCGAACGGAAAGGCCCUGCAUUUGUGGGGUGCUCGAGUGGCGAACGAGUGAGUAACACGUGAGUAACCUGCCCUUGACAUUGGGAUAACUACAGGAAACUGGGGCUAAUACCGGAUAGGAGCUCCUGCCGCAUGGUGGGGGUUGGAAAGUUACGGCGGUUGGGGAUGGACUCGCGGCUUAUCAGCUUGUUGGUGGGGUAGUGGCUUACCAAGGCGUUGACGGGUAGCCGGCCUGAGAGGGUGACCGGCCACAGUGGGACUGGGGUACGGCCCAGAGUCCUACGGGAGGCAGCGGUGGGGAAUUGUGCGCACUGGGCGGAAGCCUGAUGCAGCAACGCCGGGUGCGGGAGGACGGCCUUCGGGUUGUAAACCGCUUUCGCCUGUGACGAAGCGUGAGUGACGGUAAUGGGUAAAGAAGCACCGGCUAACUACGUG
rnacentral:rRNA from 1 species